AGUGUGCAUGUUUCCCAGUUGUGGCCCAGUUGUGUAAUGAGUAGAUCAAUAGUUGGUUUGACAAAAUCCUAAUCUCUCUAGAGAUGAUCCUUAAUGAGCUUAACCCACGUUCUCAUGUGUAGAACUAUGUCCCUUUCAUACGAGAAAGCGUUCUCUUUUGUUUGUCCCCCGUCACUCUAUCUAGUUACUUUGCACAUCUUUACUCUUUGCCACCGGACUUUGUUGAUGGCAGGAAUCUUUACUCUUGGACUGUCAUUUGCACCAUGUCUGAUGGAGUCAUUAACGGUGCAUGAAGCCGUCUUAUUAUGGAUACUUAUUUUCAUCUCCUUCGCCCCUCUUUCUGAGGGUUUAAAACCCCCAAAACUGCCUUCCUUUCCAGCGUGG